UUCCGGUUGAUCCUGCCGGACCCCACUGCUAUCGAGGUGGGACUAAGCCAUGCCAGUCGAACGACCCGGACUAUGGCGGGGAGUGGCAGACUGCUCAGUAACACGUAGCUAACCUACCCUCGGGACGGGGAUAACCCCGGGAAACUGGGGCUAAUACCCGAUAGGUAUGGAUUCCUGGAAUGGUGCCAUGCCUAAACGUAAGCACAUCCAUGUUUGUGUGCACGCCCGAGGAUGGGGCUGCGGCCGAUCAGGCAGUUGGUGAGGUAACGGCUCACCAAACCUUUGACCGGUACGGGCCAUGAGAGUGGUAGCCCGGAGAUGGGCACUGAGACAAGGGCCCAGGCCCUACGGGGCGCAGCAGGCGCGAAACCUCCACAAUUCACGCAAGUGAGAUGGGGUUACCUCGAGUGCUAUCUGAAGAAGGUGGCUUUUCCAUGGUGUAAUGAGCCGUGGGAAUAAGGGGGGGGCAAGACUGGUGUCAGCCGCCGCGGUAACACCAGCCCCCCGAGUGGUGGGGAUGAUUAUUUGGCCUAAAGCGUCCGUAGCCAGCUCGGUAAAUCUCUCGUUAAAUCCAGCGUCCUAAGCGUUGGGCUGCGAGGGGAACUGCCGAACUAGAGGGUGGGAGAGGUCAGCGGUAUUCCUGGGGUAGGGGCGAAAUCCAUUGAUCCCAGGAGGACCACCAGUGGCGAAGGCUGCUGACUAGAACACGCCUGACGGUGAGGGACGAAAGCUGGGGUAGCGAAUCGGAUUAGAUACCCGAGUAGUCCCAGCCGUAAACGAUGCAGCUAGGUGUUGGGUCGGCCAUGCGCCGCCUCAGUGCCACAGGGAAGCCAUUAAGCCUGCCGCCUGGGGAGUACGGGCGCAAGGCUGAACUUAAGGAAUUGGCGGGGAGCACCACCAGCGUGAAGCCUGCGAUUAAUUGGAAUCAACGCCGGAAA
rnacentral:rRNA from 1 species